rnacentral:rRNA from 1 species
GACGAACGCUGGCGGCGUGCUUAACACAUGCAAGUCGAACGGAAAGGCCCUGCUUUUGUGGGGUGCUCGAGUGGCGAACGGGUGAGUAACACGUGAGUAACCUGCCCUUGACUUUGGGAUAAUUUCAGGAAACUGGGGAUAAUACCGGAUAGGAGCUCCUGCUGUAUGGUGGGGGUUGGAAAGUUUAGGCGGUUGGGGAUGGACUCGCGGCUUAUCAGCUUGUUGGUGGGGUAGUGGCUUACCAAGGCUUUGACGGGUAGCCGGCCUGAGAGGGUGACCGGACACAUUGGGAAGGAGAUACGGCCCAGACUCCGACGGGAAGAAGGAGUGGGGAAUAGUACACUAUGGGCGGAAGCCUGAUGCAGCAACGCCGCGUGCGGGAUGACAGACUUCGGUUGGUAAACCGCUAUCGCCUGUGACGAAACGUGAGUGACGGUAAUGGGAAAAGAAGCACCGGCUAACUACGUG